rnacentral:tRNA from 1 species
UUGGCUAAAGCAGUAAAGAAUCUGCCUGCAAUGCAGGAGACCCAGGUUCGAUUCCUGGA